GCCGGGAUAGCUCAGUUGGUAGAGCAACCGAUUUGUAAUCGGUAGGUCGUCGGUUCGAGUCCGACCCCCGGCACCA
rnacentral:tRNA from 1 species